rnacentral:rRNA from 1 species
UACGGAGGAUCCAAGCGUUAUCCGGAUUUAUUGGGUUUAAAGGGUGCGUAGGCGGAUUGAUAAGUUAGAGGUGAAAUGUCCGAGCUCAACUCGGGAACUGCCUCUAAUACUGUUGAUCUAGAGAGUAGAUGCGGUAGGCGGAAUGUAUGGUGUAGCGGUGGAAUGCUUAGAGAUCAUACAGAACACCGAUUGCGAAGGCAGCUUACCAAUCUAUAUCUGACGUUGAGGCUCGAAAGCGUGGGGAGCAAACAGG